UACGUAGGGGGCAAGCGUUGUCCGGAAUUAUUGGGCGUAAAGCGCGCGCAGGCGGCUUUGUAAGUCUGUCGUUUAAGUUCGGGGCUCAACCCGUAUCGCGAUGGAAACUGCAAGGCUUGAGUGCAGAAGAGGAAAGUGGAAUUCCACGUGUAGCGGUGAAAUGCGUAGAGAUGUGGAGGAACACCAGUGCGAAGGCAGAUCU
rnacentral:rRNA from 1 species